rnacentral:sRNA from 1 species
GUUUCCGGUCAACAUCCGCCAGCGCGUUGCGCCCGCGGGUGUAUUUUG